CUUUACUGUAGCCUGGAAUUGGGUCCGGGCUUCGCUUGCGCAGGAUAGGUGGGAGGCACUGAAACACUCCUUGUGGGGAGUGUGGAGCCAACGGUGAGAUACCACUCUAGCGAGGCUAGGAUUCUAACUAGUAGCCGCCAUCCGGCACUAGCACAGUUUCAGGUGGGCAGUUUGACUGGGGCGGUCGCCUCCUAAAAGGUAACGGAGGCGCGCAAAGGUUCCCUCCGGCUGGUUGGAAAUCAGCCCGAGAGUGCAAAGGCAUAAGGGAGCUUGACUGUGAGACUGACAGGUCAAACAGGGACGAAAGUCGGCCUUAGUGAUCCGACGGCACUGAGUGGAAGGGCCGUCGCUCAACGGAUAAAAGUUA
rnacentral:rRNA from 1 species